rnacentral:rRNA from 1 species
UACGUAGGGGGCAAGCGUUGUCCGGAUUUAUUGGGCGUAAAGCGCUCGCAGGCGGUUCGUUGCGUCGUGCGUGAAAGACCCCGGCUCAACUGGGGGAUGUCGUGCGAUACGGGCGGACUGGAGGCCAGUAGGGGGAUGCGGAAUUCCGGGUGUAGUGGUGGAAUGCGUAGAGAUCCGGAGGAACACCAGCGGCGAAGGCGGCAUCCUGGACUGGUCCUGACACUCAGGAGCGAAAGCGUGGGGAGCGAACCGG